rnacentral:rRNA from 1 species
AUGCCGGCACUGCGAGGCGCGCAAGUGACCGGCCUCCUCGACGGCAGCGACGCCGCACCGCCCAAGAUAAUAGAAGUCACCAAGGCAGAUAAAACCACGACCAUUGAGCCCAACCCUCUGUACGGCCCGUGGUUGUCGAAGGAUCAACAGGUUCUGAGCUACCUGUUGAACUCUCUCACCCAGGAAAUCCUUGCACAAGUCAUCGGUAAGGACAGCACCUUCGAUUUGUGGACUGCUCUUACCACAAUAUUCACUGCGCAGUCGCAAUCCCGCAUAACCAAUCUACGGAUGGCCAUCUCCAACACCAAGAAGGGCAACAUGUCGAGCAACGCCUUCAUUUCCAAGAUGAAGAACCUCGGGGACGAGCUAGCUGUAGCUGGGCGUCCGAUUACCGAUCUAGAGAUGGUGGACUACAUAUUGGUUGGCCUUGAUCGGGACUAUGAUCCCGUUGUGGCAGCAAUCGGCACAAUCAAGAACUCCAUCAGCGUCGACGAUCUGUUCGCGUAG